UAACAAGGUUUCCGUAGGUGAACCUGCGGAAGGAUCAUUACCUAGAGUUUGUAGACUUCGGUCUGCUACCUCUUACCCAUGUCUUUUGAGUACCUUCGUUUCCUCGGCGGGUCCGCCCGCCGAUUGGACAACAUUCAAACCCUUUGCAGUUGCAAUCAGCGUCUGAAAAAACAUAAUAGUUACAACUUUCAACAACGGAUCUCUUGGUUCUGGCAUCGAUGAAGAACGCAGCGAAAUGCGAUAAGUAGUGUGAAUUGCAGAAUUCAGUGAAUCAUCGAAUCUUUGAACGCACAUUGCGCCCCUUGGUAUUCCAUGGGGCAUGCCUGUUCGAGCGUCAUUUGUACCUUCAAGCUCUGCUUGGUGUUGGGUGUUUGUCUCGCCUCUGCGUGUAGACUCGCCUUAAAACAAUUGGCAGCCGGCGUAUUGAUUUCGGAGCGCAGUACAUCUCGCGCUUUGCACUCACAACGACGACGUCCAAAAGUACAUUUUUACACUCUUGACCUCGGAUCAGGUAGGGAUACCCGCUGAACUUAAGCAUA
rnacentral:rRNA from 1 species